CCUCUCCCCUAAGUAUCUUAGUACACCAUUCCUCCGUCUCUCCCCUAAGUCCCUGACACCACCGCCACUAUUUCCCUCUGACCACCGACUGCCAACCGCCAACGUCACUUCCUGCUUCGCCGACCGCCGACCGCCGCUUCCCCUACCGCCUACUCUAUUGCUCUAUUCUAUGGUUAGUCACUACCCAACAGUUAUUGCAUGUCAUUGUGAAGGUAGAGGUUGGAAAUUCUGGGGUGAUAGUAACCUUAAAUCCAAAAUUUUCAGUGGAGCUCUAACUUUUUCAAGGUAGAAUUUGAUGAUGGGGAGAUUUUUCAGUGGAGCAAGGUAUGCUGGGGACAUGGUCUGCAGUGUAGCUCAUUCCUUGAUUUCUUAAUGCCAAUUGGCUUUCUUUAUUUCAUAUGAUUAAAUGAGUUUUGAUGUUGUCCUCAGGUCACAACUAGUAUAUAUAACAUUAUCCUUAGGAGAUGAUUAGAUUAUAUUUAUUAAUAUAUUUGAUACUGUUUUUAACGAUGUAAUAUUGUAUAGUGUUAUACUUUUAUUAUUGUUUUUGAGUUUGAAUGUUUUAA